UUCAGUGGGGGUUUUAAAAAGCAGAAGCCGGUUCAGUGAAUAGGGAAUCUUUUGGGAUCACUGUGCGCGUUUCUUCCUCAUCCCCGACGCCCCAAACCUUUUUCCUUUUACGCGAUUUUCCCCAAUCCGGCGACGGCGGCGGCUCUGACAACUCUUGUGGUGACGACUUCAUCCUAGUGUCUCUUCCGGCGGAGUGGUUCAGCUCUAGCGCAACGAGGUUCCCUUCUUUCCUAUUCUAACUCGGCGACGGCGAUUUGAACUCAAAGCUAGGGUUUUCACUGGAGUGGUUUUGCUCCGGUGAUUUAUUUUCCUCUCCGGCCCUACUAUAGAAGAUCCUCUUGCGGACGUGGUUUGCAGAAGCAAGGAGUUUCCAACAGUGAGGAAGUCGGCUGUGCAGCUUCUUCUCCGGCGAGCUUUUAUCUUCUUCCAACACUGAAUGUUGCAGUGGAUCCCUGCGGACGUGGUUGCGAAGGUAGGAGACUCCACAAAUUCAGUGUGUGUAUCGAUUCUGGCAGAAGCAAGCUCAAGCCCUCUCUACUAUUCAACUUCGCGUGGUUCGUGUUGCUGGAAGCAGCAGAUAAGUGAGCGUGAGGACAACACAUUGGGUAGUCGUCCAUGAUCAGUUCAGCCAUUGGUGUCGCUGUUAACCGACUCUAGUGGUUCCAGGUCCGGGUUCUUCAUAUGAUGGCAGAGGGUAGUUGGUUGGAGUUGAUCACAGAAGAGUAGUUUGGCUAAUUUAGUUUACUUUCUUGUGUAAUUUAGGUAUUAUUUUCUUAUCAAUGAUAGAUUGUUUAAUAUUGUACUUUGUUUAGUUUCAUUUAUUUAUGUGGCAAAAGGUGAAAUCGUCA